CGGAGGUUGCAAGCGUUGUUCGGAAUAACUGGGCGUAAAGGGAGCGCAGGCGGCUUGGUAAGUCUAAAGUGAAAUUCCAGGGCUCAACCCUGGACGUGCUUUGGAUACUGCCUGGCUUGAGUACGUGAGAGGAGAUUGGAAUUCCAGGUGCAGCGGUGAAAUGCGUAGAUAUCUGGAGGAACACCGGUGGCGAAAGCGGAUCUCUGGCACGUUACUGACGCUGAGGCUCGAAAGCAUGGGGAGCAAACGGGAUUAGAUACCCCGGUAGUCCAUGCCGUAAACGUUGUGCGCUAGGUGUAGGAGUAUCGACCCCUUCUGUGCCGAAGUUAACGCAUUAAGCGCACCGCCUGGGGAGUACGGUCGCAAGACUG
rnacentral:rRNA from 1 species